rnacentral:tRNA from 1 species
GUCUGGGUGGCUCAGUCAGUUGAGCGUCCGACUUCAGCUCAGGUCAUGGUCUCUUGGUUCGUGGGUUCGAGCCCCACGUCGGGCU